GAUGAACGCUGGCGGCGUGCCUAAUACAUGCAAGUCGAGCGAAUGGAUUAAGAGCUUGCUCUUAUGAAGUUAGCGGCGGACGGGUGAGUAACACGUGGGUAACCUGCCCAUAAGACUGGGAUAACUCCGGGAAACCGGGGCUAAUACCGGAUAAUAUUUUGAACUGCAUGGUUCAAAAUUGAAAGGCGGCUUCGGCUGUCACUUAUGAAUGGACCCGCGUCGCAUUAGCUAGUUGGUGAGGUAACGGCUCACCAAGGCAACGAUGCGUAGCCGACCUGAGAGGGUGAUCGGCCACACUGGGACUGAGACACGGCCCAGACUCCUACGGGAGGCAGCAGUAGGGAAUCUUCCGCAAUGGACGAAAGUCUGACGGAGCAACGCCGCGUGAGUGAUGAAGGCUUUCGGGUCGUAAAACUCUGUUGUUAGGGAAGAACAAGUGCUAGUUGAAUAAGCUGGCACCUUGACGGUACCUAACCAGAAAGCCACGGGUAACUACGUGCCAGCCGCCGCCGUAA
rnacentral:rRNA from 1 species